UCUCUGCCUGAUCAUGUGACUGGAGGCUCUUCAGACCCAGGAUGGUUUUCAGGUCCAGAGAUAAAGAGAUGAGCUCAUUGAUUGUGGCUGAAGGUAGAACACCUGGGACCUGACACAAAACGAGAAAACCCCUGCUGGAACCGCUCUCUGAACUCUGUGUACUCCGGGCAUUUGUGAAAAGGUCCUUUCUCUGACAGCAGCCAGUCCAGCUGA